UUUACAUUCACAGGCCCUCGUGACGCAUCUUUCGAGGCUUCGGCGGUCAUUAUAGCAGCUUGUCUUUUCCCAUAAGGCCCGGAAUGGCUUCUCUGACACGGGUCAUGACAGCCAACCCCGUCUCCAUGGGCCGGCAGCUAAUCGGGGAGAAUUUUCCGGCGGCCCAGCGCCGAGUGCCAAUCCCAGUCAAAGGAGCUCGUCGAGGAGGAAUGUCGUCCCGAGCAUUCCAAUGGUAAUCGCCCCCGAGGUUACGGUUUCGGGGAAGUGACCUGUCGGAACAAUGGCGCGCAGGUCAAUGGAUCCCACAGCGCUGAAUUGAGCUCCCAGAAUGCUAAGCCGUCGUCGCGCGGUCACGCUCGCCCAUUUUGGCUCGGAGGAUUUGAAUCGAGAGGGUCCAUCCAUCUCGGCAACAAUCGGCGGCGGUUAGAGGUGAAAACUGAACGAUCACCUCUACUCAACGAGACGCAUUCGAGGACUCGUUCAUGUCUGGAGCACAAGUGGUUCAAGAGGUUUUACUGGCAUUGGAUGGAUGAACAGGAGUAAAAUUUGACAGCUGGAUCACAACUGCAACUAAAUGAAGCCUGAAACCCACCAGCACCUGCACUCAAAUGCCACCCAAAACAGUUUAAUCUGCUGGAGUGACAUUUCCAGUUAGGGUUGCUUUAGGAUAAGCAUGUGUUUUGUGAAUCUUGAGUUGUUAAAGGUUUAACUGUACUGGCUGCACAGAAACUGCUGAAUGACUCGCCUUGCGAUAUCUAUCAUUAGCCGUCAACAUUUGAAACGCAUGUUUCA